rnacentral:lncRNA from 1 species
GACAAUUCAAAAUGGAAUCCAUAACUUCUAACAACAUCAACAACUAUCUCCGAAAUCUCUAGUACAUAGAAACCAAUAUCUCGUCUGAAACUGGGACAAGGCACCCAGUAGACCAUAAAACAGAGGAAUCAUCAAAAACUGAAAAUCAGGCCUUCCGGAAUAGAGAAGGCUCACCAACUGCAAUUUCUGACACACACCAAUCUACUGCUAGAAGGGACCACAGGACUGUGCCUCGGAUCCUGAGAUAUAGGGGGCCAAAACAGAUUUACUGGUACACAGAGCAAUCCAAAAUAAUGUAAUUUAAUAAAUAACAUAAGCGAGAGUAUUUCACCAAAAUCUUAUGCAUGAAAUAAUUUUAAAACACAUGGACAGCUUCAUAUGAUCUUAAUGAAAUUUUGUGGGUACAAUCUCUUUACUUUAUUUUACUUCUGAGUUAGGUGGUACACCCAACAUAUCUGAAAGUAUCCCACGGGCUAUGUGGGAUCCGCCCUUAACUCGGUUGCCGAGCCCCCAACCCAAGUUUACCGCAAGAGUUGGAGUAUUUGAAUCUGAUACGCCAUAGGGCACUAGACCAGCGUAUAAUCCCUCAUUCAGGUCAUAAUAAAUCCAUCUGGCAAAAUACAGUUCCGGACAAUGAAUUGUAUGACUCAUGCCUACUUCGGGUAACCACCUAAUGCUCUUGGUGUCCAUGUUUAAUCUGUUCUAAACAGCAUCUUUCUCAAUUCAAAAUCUAAAAAUCUGAAUGAAAUAUGAAUUAGGUUCUAUUUUGAGUCUGCUAUGGCAUUAUUUGAUUUGAUAUCGUCAUACCAUAGACUUGCAAGCCGUAUCUAAGCCACUCAAUAUCAUAUUACAAUCUUUUUCUUUCAAAACAUGUGUUCAGACCACCAAACCAUUCAAACAGUAUAAGAGGAUGCAUAUAGUGAAAUUCAUGAAAGCUUAGGCAAAGAUCCUCAAUUUCAAAUUCACAAACACUUAGUGGUCAAGUAUUUCGUAAAAAAUCAUGCAAUCUCUUUAAAUCACCACUUUUCAUCCAUGUUAACAAGAAUCACCCUCUCUCUUCAAUUUAUAAUCUAAAUCAAUGCUUAAAUAAUAAUAAUAAAGACAUUUGAAUCAUGCUUCUCAAUAUGCAAUUGAAUAACAUAUGAAAACAAGAGGCUUAAUAACAAGAGAGGGAUUUUAAGUGUUCAUGCUUUCAAUUCAACAUUCAAACUCAAAAUCGCAUACAUACUUAUAUAUACAAACACAAAUCAUAUUUAGGGGAAAGCCUCAAGGCUAAAACGUUAUUGUUAAAAAGAUUUCAUAAUGCAUGAUCAUAAAUGUAAAUUCAAACCCCUUUGUAAAUUUAUAGUUUCUCUACAUUUAAACAUGAUUAAAAAGAUUUCUCCAUGUCCAUGUAUUUUAGAAAAACUCUGCGUACCUUAGAUUAAUUAGCUUAAAGUGUGGAACCCUAGCCUUGACUCUUUUCUUGGAAAUCUUGACUUGGAAGAUGAAACCUAGAUCUAUGGGAGGGAAGUUAGGGUUUUAUUUUGAAGUAAUUUGAGUGGUUUUUGAUAUAUUAUGCCUCAAUCAAUACAAAAUGUCGUGUUAUGGCUGAGUUAUAAUGAGGAAAAUAGACAAAAAUACCCUUCUGGACCUAAGAAAAAUUUAAUACACGAACUGGGUAUCCGACGCGUUCAGCGACGCACCACGUCGCCUGCCGACGCGAUUACUGGCGUGACACAUCGAUAUCGCGUCGAGCCACUGGUUUGGCCAACGCAAUUUUCGACGCGACGCACCAAUAUCUCGUCGAGUCACUAGUUUGCUUACCCAAACACGUCCCAAACGUUAUCCGAAAAAUUCAAAACCUUCCCGAGACACCCCUCUUACACCCCCGAACAUAAUUCAACUUAAAAAUCUACUUAUCGGGGUCAGAAAGAUUGAUUUUAAAAUUAUUUAAGUUUAAGAGCUUAAAAUAAGGCUAAGUCAUUUCAACACUUAGAAAGUUUCAGGUUGUUGGCACUAAAGCAUGCUACUAAAUUCGGUAUUAAGUCAAGAACGCUAUGGGGCGUUACAGACUUUUUUCCGUAAAGGCACCUCAAUUAAGUCAUGUACCUAUUGAACCCUUUACUUAUUUACAAAACGUUUCAAUAAGGCACAAUUGCUGACAUGACACUGAUGUGGCAUAGCGCACUACACUCAAUUUAUAAGCGUGAAACAUUAAAUUUUAGCUUCUUUUUUUUACUUAAAUCUCUUUAUCUUUUUAUUUUUCUUAAUUCUCUCCUUUCUCAUGAUUUUUUAUUUUUAAAAUAUAAUUACUCCCCUUUUUUUCCUUUAUAAACUCAACUAUUCUACUACUCUUCUUCUUUAUUUUUCUUUUCUUCAUCUCUCUCCCUUUUUCUCCCUGCCACCAUUACUACCUCUUCACGAAUUUUCGGUACUUACCAUUUUUCAUCUAUUCCUCAUUUCAAUAUUUAAUUUACCAUUGGCAUCAUAGAAUUUUAGUAAAAACAAAGGACUGAUAGUACUCCCAUGAAAUCUAAGAUUAAAUCAUUCAGUGUCUAUUGAAAGACAAAGCUUGAGAUGUCAAAAGAGAAAACAGAAACAUCGAAAUUCAACAUCAUGAUGAUGGUAACAAGAAGCUCAUCAAAUUGCAAGUGAACAAAAUAUUAGAUGGCGGCUUAUUCAACAAUUGAAAUCAUGAAAGACAUUAAAAAUCGAACAAAAUAAACUAAUACGGAUUAGAAGGAAGAGGUCUAGAGAGAGAUACACAAACCUUCCACUGGUUCUUUAUUGUUUCAUACUCUGAAUUUCUGACAGACACGAGAUAUUUCCUCCCGACAUAAGUUGAAUCAUACGAAUAAUAUCCCAACAGAAAUCUCUAGACCUGGAACCACAAUGACAAAUGGGAGUGUGUGUUUUGGAAACCCCUGUUUUGUGAGAGUCAUGUGUGUGUUUGUGAGAUUGUGAAGAAGAAAAGGAAAAUGAGGUCUGUCUGUUUGGAAGGGAAGAGAGGGGGAGGGGGGAGGGAGGAUCGGGU